CUAAGGAUAUGGAUACCCCAGGAUGUGAAGAACGGUUAGAAGGUGUGGCAAUGCUAGGACCUCAUGAGCUAAGACCUGGAUAGAUGAACAAAGUCAUCAAAAGUCAUUCAAAGCCUUUGGAAGAAAAAAAUAUGUUGCUGCCUUGUCUCUCCUGAAUGAACACAAACUAUGAAAAUACAAAACUCUGAAUAAGAAUUGGAAACUUAUGAUCAUGGCUGGAAACAUUCUCCACUCUAUAAGAUGUGUGCAGCUGAACACAGCCUCGAGGAAACAUCAAUGCUUGCAUAACUACUUAUGCUGGGAGAUUGUUGUGACCACUGACUGGACUCUCAAAGAUGUUACACAGGUUGAAUUGUUGGUGCAUAUAUAUGUACAUAUUAAGACAAACUGAAGGAGGCAACCUAGCCAGGGACAGACAUCCAGGCUGUUUGAAAAGGCUUGGACUGUUGUCUGAACUCCUCCAGGCUAAACACAGGAUGUGGAACUUUUACCAACUAAGGAAGAUUUGGAAGCUGAAGAGCAGUGGAGGGACUUCUUUUACUGAUCAAGCAAAACAGGUCAGGAAGGUCAUAGAAGUUGCAGGUAUGAACAUAUGCUACUCAACCUGUUUUCAAGUUAUCUCACACCAUCACCUUUGGAUGAAGGGUCAUCAGAAUUUCACUUGGGAUAGGUGGCCUUCAUGACCUACUGCUGUUACCAACAAUACUCAAAACCUUCAAUUUCUGCCCAAGUGGUGGACUCAUACCUACCCUCUCUUGUAAAGUGUAAAUAGAUCUUGUCGUAUUGACUAUGUGUGCCUGCUAUAUCCCAACUGUCUAAGAUUACUUCCAAACUUCUUCCUGCUACAAAUAUUCGGGGACAUUCCCCCAUUCAAGAAAAGUGGCCUUGCUCUUAUGUCAUCUGACUAAAGGUUUCAUAGACCAAAGAUAACCAUCCAACUUGUUGGAAUACUGAAACAAUUGCUGCCUGCUGUCCACACACCACAUAAAAUAUGUGGAUUUCGUAAAUUCUGCAAAAAAGGUUUGGAAGCUGAUCAAUCAAUACUGGAACUCCCUCUUCUCCAGAAGAGACAUCCUGGCCUCCAUGCAGAGGAAUGUGUGGAUGGACAUAUAUUUAAGGAAGACACUAAACCAGAAACUACUACAUUACACCCUCUUAGAAGACUUCUAAGAUUGUUGUCAUGCCUACCACAGACAUUCAGAUGAUGUAUAUUGUUGAUUGUGAUUUCAUGUUUGGACCUGAUGAAGGAACCCAGGAGAUGAACAUAUGCCUGAGAAGAAGAACUAGUGUGGAACUGUCAGCCAGGUUUUUGAUGAGUGCUCAGACUGCUUCCUGAUCCAGCAACCACAUUUACUACAGUGGACAGAUGCUCUAGUCUCUGAUGAGGAGUUGCUAGCUGUUAGGAAGAACCUGAAAUGGGCUCCACUGCAUGAGGUUUGAAGUCUCCAGAGCAGCAAAGAGAGUGGGGAGUAGAACUCAUCAUCUUUAGGUCACUCAUCAUCG
rnacentral:lncRNA from 1 species